UACGGGAGGAUGCGAGCGUUAUCCGGAUUUAUUGGGUUUAAAGGGUGCGCAGGCGGGGAUUUUAAGUCAGCGGUGAAAUUUUUCAGGCUCAACCUGAACACUGCCGUUGAAACUGGGAUUCUUGAGUAUGGAUGAAGUAGGCGGAAUUCGUUGUGUAGCGGUGACAUGCUUAGAUAUAACGAGGAACUCCGAUUGCGUAGGCAGCUUACUAAGCCAUAACUGACGCUCAAGCACGAAAGCGUGGGGAUCAAACAGG
rnacentral:rRNA from 1 species